rnacentral:lncRNA from 1 species
CAGAAAGGUAGCAGCUGAAUAUGACUUGAAAAGGGAGAAAACUAAAAGGAAAUGAAAAGAGAAGCCACUGGACCUUGAUGCCUGGGGCAUUAUCCUAUGAGUGGCUAAAGGUGGUCAAGAAAGGAAUCCGUGAGAAGGUCAUAUUUAAACACACACUUGCAGAAAGUGAGAAAAUAAGCUUUGAACACAUUUUGGAAAAAGAGAAUUCCAUGCCUAGAAAACAGCAAAUGCAAAUGCCCUACAGCAGAAGAAAGCUGGGCUUGGGGGAAGGAAAAUCAAGGAAGUAUGUGUGGUUGGAGCGGAGCCUGGGCAGGGCAGCGUGAAGACUCACCCAGUAAGCAUGGGCAAGCGUCCAGGCCAGGAUCUUCUCUAACUGACCAGAGCAACAGGAAGCUGUCCUGGGCAGAAGAGAGGCACCAUCUAACUGGCUUGAAGAUCCCUAAGACUGCAGUGUUGAGUGCAGACUGUAGGGGACAGUGGGAGGAGAGAUCUUCCAAUAGUUAAGGAAUUCCUGCAAUGAUUCCAGUUGAACAACGAAGAAGGCCCAGUCCAGGCUAGUAGGUGGAAGAGGUGUUCAGUGGUUAUAUUCUAGAUAACGUUUAGAAGGUGGUGCUGAUAGCAUGUGCCGAUGGAUUGCCAAGGUGUGAUCUUUGCUCAAGAGAUUUUGGCUGGUCUUGUAAGAAUAAAACAAAGUAAAUAAAGUGCCUACAAUUACUCAAAAACAUCAGUUCUUUCCACCUUCCUUUGAGGUUCUUUGGCCUCUGUAGCUCAGGCCUCUGCAAGUGCUCAACAUAUGCAAAAUCUGGUCAAGAGUGGCAC